CAGCAGCCACGGGAAUACGGAGGGGGCUAGCGUUGUUCGGAAUUACUAGGCGUAAAGGGAGCGUAGGCGGAUCGUUAAGUUGGGGGUGAAAGCCCGGGGCUCAACCUCGGAAUAGCCUUCAAUACUGGCGAUCUUGAGUAUGGGAGAGGUAAGCGGAACUCCGAGUGUAGAGGUGAAAUUCGUAGAUAUUCGGAAGAACACCAGUGGCGAAGGCGACACACUGGCUCAUUACUGACGCUGAGGCUCGAAAGCGUGGGGAGCAAACAGGAUUAGAUACCCGGGUAGUCCCUGUCUCUUAUAC
rnacentral:rRNA from 1 species